rnacentral:rRNA from 1 species
AUUCCCCUACGGGAGGCAGCACUUAGGAUCUUGCGCAUUGGACGAAAGUCUGACGCAGCGACGCCGUGUGCGGGAUGAAUGCCUUCGGGUUGUAAGCCGCUUUCAGUCAGGGACUGAUAUUGACGUGUACCUGCAUUGAAGUAAGCCCCUGGAUCAACUACGUGCCUAGCAGCGCGCGGUAAUACGUAGUGGGGCGAGCGUUGUCCGGAUUUAUUGGGCGUAAAGAGCUCGUAGCGGUUUGGUAAGUCGGAUGUGAAAUCUCCAGGCUCAACCUGGAGGGGUCAUUCGAGACUGCUAUGACUAGAGUUCGGUAGAGGAGUGUGGAAUUCAUGGUGUAGCAGUGAAAUGCGGUAGAGAUCAUGAGGAAAGACCAGUGGCGAAGGCGGGUCUCUGGACAGUUCCUUGACACUGAGUGCACGAAAGGCUAGGGGAGCGAAACGGGAUUAGAUACCCCGGUAGUCCUAGCAGUAACGGUGCACGUUUGGUUGUGAGAGGAUUCGACCCCUUUCGGCGGAGCUAACGCG